AGCUGGCGCGUGCCUAUACAUGCAAGUCGAACGAGUUCUGAUUAUUGAAGGGUGCUUGCAUCUUGAUUUAAUUUUGAACGAGUGGCGGACGGGUGAGUAACACGUGGGUAACCUGCCCUUAAGUGGGGGAUAACAUUUGGAAACAGAUGCUAAUACCGCAUAAAUCCAAGAACCGCAUGGUUCUUGGCUGAAAGAUGGCGUAAGCUAUCGCUUUUGGAUGGACCCGCGGCGUAUUAGCUAGUUGGUGAGGUAACGGCUCACCAAGGCAAUGAUACGUAGCCGAACUGAGAGGUUGAUCGGCCACAUUGGGACUGAGACACGGCCCAAACUCCUACGGGAGGCAGCAGUAGGGAAUCUUCCACAAUGGACGCAAGUCUGAUGGAGCAACGCCGCGUGAGUGAAGAAGGCUUUCGGGUCGUAAAACUCUGUUGUUGGAGAAGAAUGGUCGGCAGAGUAACUGUUGUCGGCGUGACGGUAUCCAACCAGAAAGCCACGGCUAACUACGUGCCAGCAGCCGCGUAAAUAA
rnacentral:rRNA from 2 species